rnacentral:ncRNA from 1 species
UGAUAGCUAUGAAGCGUGAGGUUGCUGCCCAUGAGGCAGGUUUUCCGUGGAGCGAAUGUCAAGUUAGGAAACUGGCGACAA